UUAGACGGCCAUAGGGGCAGGGUUCCACCCAGACUCAUUCGAACCUGGAAGUUAAACCUGUCUCCGUAGCGGUGUGUACUUCGUUUCGAGGGAAAUCCGCUAAGCUGUCGCCC
rnacentral:rRNA from 1 species